AUUGAACGCUGGCGGAAUGCUUUACACAUGCAAGUCGAACGGCAGCACGGACUUCGGUCUGGUGGCGAGUGGCGAACGGGUGAGUAAUGUAUCGGAACGUGCCCAGUCGAGGGGGAUAACGUAGUGAAAAUUACGCUAAUACCGCAUACGUUCUAUGGAUAGAAGCGGGGGAGCGCAAGACCUCGCGCGAUUGGAGCGGCCGAUAUCAGAUUAGGUAGUUGGUGGGGUAAAGGCCCACCAAGCCAACGAUCUGUAGCUGGUCUGAGAGGACGACCAGCCACACUGGAACUGAGACACGGUCCAGACUCCUACGGGAGGCAGCAGUGGGGAAUUUUGGACAAUGGGCGAAAGCCUGAUCCAGCCAUUCCGCGUGCAGGAUGAAGGCCCUCGGGUUGUAAACUGCUUUUGUACGGAACGAAAAGGUUUCUACUAAUACUAGGAGCUCAUGACGGUACUGUAAGAAUAAGCACCGGCUAACUACGUGCCAGCAGCCGCGGUAA
rnacentral:rRNA from 1 species